GAGAUGCGGGAGUGCCUUCGGGAAUCGGAACACAGGUGCUGCAUGGCUGUCGUCAGCUCGUGUCGUGAGAUGUUGGGUUAAGUCCCGCAACGAGCGCAACCCUUGUCCUUAGUUGCCAGCGAGUAAAGUCGGGAACUCUAAGGAGACUGCCGGUGACAAACCGGAGGAAGGUGGGGAUGACGUCAAGUCCUCAUGGCCCUUACGGCCAGGGCUACACACGUACUACAAUGGUCGGUACAGAGGGUUGCAAUACCGCGAGGUGGAGCCAAUCCCAGAAAGCCGAUCCCAGUCCGGAUCGAAGUCUGCAACUCGACUUCGUGAAGUCGGAAUCGCUAGUAAUCGCGGAUCAGCUAUGCCGCGGUGAAUACGUUCCCGGGCCUUGUACACACCGCCCGUCACACCAUGGGAGUGAGUUGCUCCAGAAGCCGUUAGUCUAACCGCAAGGGGGACGACGACCACGGAGUGGUUCAUGACUGGGGUGAAGUCGUAACAAGGUAACCGUAA
rnacentral:rRNA from 1 species